CCUACGGGGGACUGCAGUGGGGAAUAUUGCGCAAUGGGCGAAAGCCUGACGCAGCGACGCCGCGUGAGGGAUGAAGGUCUUCGGAUCGUAAACCUCUGUCAGCAGGGAAGAACGGUCACUGUGCUAAUCAGCAGUGAAUUGACGGUACCUGCAAAGGAAGCAUCGGCUAACUCCGUGCCAGCAGCCGCGGUAAUACGGAGGAUGCGAGCGUUAUCCGGAUUUAUUGGGUUUAAAGGGUGCGCAGGCGGCCUGUUAAGUCAGCGGUAAAAGCCCGGGGCUCAACCCCGGCGAGCCGUUGAAACUGGCGGGCUGGAGUUGGAGAGAAGUACGCGGAAUGCGCGGUGUAGCGGUGAAAUGCUUAGAUAUUAGGAGGAACACCAGUGGCGAAGGCGGCUUACUGGACUGUAACUGACGUUGAGGCUCGAAAGCGUGGGGAGCAAACAGGAUUAGAUACCCCAGUAGUC
rnacentral:rRNA from 1 species